GAGGGUAUAGGUCAGUGGUAGAGUGCAUGCUUACAGCACACGCAUGAGGUCCUGGGUUCAAUCCCUAGUACCUCUA
rnacentral:tRNA from 1 species